UAACAACUUUUUGUGACGUGCUAACACAUUUUUAGAGUAAUUAUUGCAUGGUAGAAUUUAUCACUCCAGAACAGAAAGACCUAACUUCAGUUUCAAAUGAAGUUAACUAAUUUAUUUUAUUUACAUUUCUGGGUAAAAACUGGUUCUAUAAAUUAAGAAGUAUAGUCGCUUCUCUAUGGUAAAGAUAUCUUUCUGAAAAGUAAACAAUUCUGUUGAAAUAACUUUACUAAUAUGUAGAUUUUGCACUUUAUUUUUGAGACCUCAUUCAUUUAGUUAUCCUUGAAAAUUUGGACACUAAAAGAACUUGAGAAAGUUACUUGGUAAAUGUGUAGAAACUGAAAAUGGACUCUGUCUUUGGUAACGAAGAGGUAACGUCAAUAUUUUUAAUAGAAAACAUUGACCCUGAGUCACUGACUCUGGGUCCUAAAGUCCCAUAAUGUAAUGACUGUAAAUAUCCUAGUGUCCAGUCUACAAAGACUUGCUAGGUGAAGAAUAUUAGACUUUCCUAAAGGUCCAGUUUAAUUUUUAUACCUUAAAUUUGGCCCUAUUUUGUCCUUUUUAAUUUGAACCAACAAGGUACUCCCCCUCCCCUCAGGAAUAACUUAUUAUCACUGAGUGGAAUGUUCAUUUUAUGCCAGUUAUUUCAAGUUUUAAAAUACACAGAACAAAAUAUUGUGGAAGGACCUCUUUGUCUUUUUCCCAUCUAAGUUUUUUUUUAUUUGUCCUUAUGUGGAAUAAGUAAAACUAAUUUGUCUAUUAUUCACCAGAGAUGCAGGUGGCGGUCAAGCCAAACAACACUGUGUUAAGAUCAGGUAUCCUGCACAUUCAUUCCAAGGUAACAGAUUUUCAAAAGGCCUUGGAUUCAAAAAGAUGUCAGAUUAUAAGCCAUCUGAAGACCCAAUUCGGAAAAAAUGUGUGUAGCUAAUGUUUAUAUUGUGGUCUCUCUUAAGACACAUUGGCACUGUAGACUUCGAUCAGUGCAUUUGAAAAUUCUGGAGUAGGUUACAUAUAGAUUUUACAUUUUUAUUGUUUAAUUUGUGCCCACAUAAAUAGAUAUUUCAUCAUGUAAGAUUCCUGUUAUUCUGGAAAAACCUAUUGUUUUGAUCUUGAAUUAUUUUCUGAUUUGGAAUUAUCCUUUCAAAAAACUCUUAAGAUGUCUAGGGCUAAAAAGCACUUCAUGAGAUGCUAAAGAUGACCCACAGGUUGAAAAUGUUACCCUAUCCUGUUAUUUAAAUGUGAA
rnacentral:lncRNA from 1 species